rnacentral:misc_RNA from 1 species
ACAGAGUUUAUUCAAGUUUUCGGCAAAGAAGAAAAGGGAAGUCAAUUGAAAAAGGAUAUCUUCUCUGCUAAGUUUCCUGAUUGUUCGAAGCCAUGCUCAAUAAAAUCUGGGGUCUGCACCAACCUCAGCAACGUCCACAGGAGGGUAAUAAUGAAUCAUUUUAUCCACCAUCUGUAGGAAGUUCCCAGUCUCCUGGGUCUUCCCGCCCCGGAACUCCUAGUCCAAGCUCUUCAGGCCAUUUUGGUGUCCAAAGACCAACAGAUAGGGCAAGCUCAGUGUCACGUGUUUCCCCUGCAGAGGCUGCAGGCAUUAUUACUGCUAUAAAAGAUAAGAGCCUUGAGGAGCUUAGGGACCUUCUAUGUCACCAGGAUGGAUAUCAUAACCUAUUACUUUCACUUGAGCCUGUCAAAACUCAGAAUAAAGUUAGAGAUGACCUUCGGAAUGAAACUCUGCAACUUGCUAGGGAGAAUUUAGAAAAA